GAUGAACGCUGGCGGUGUGCCUAAUACAUGCAAGUCGAGCGAACAGAUGAUGAGCUUGUUCCUCUGACGUUAGCGGCUGACGGGUGAGUAACACGUGGAUAACCUUCUUAUAAUACUGGGAUAACUUCGGGAAACCGGUGCUAAUACCGGAUAAUAUAUUGAACCGCAUGGUUCAAUAGUGAAAGACGGUUUUGCUGUCACUUAUAGAUGGAUCCGCGCUGCAUUAGCUAGUUGGUAAGGUAACGGCUUACCAAGGCAACGAUGCGUAGCCGACCUGAGAGGGUGAUCGGCCACACUGGAACUGAGACACGGUCCAGACUCCUACGGGAGGCAGCAGUAGGGAAUCUUCCGCAAUGGGCGAAAGCCUGACGGAGCAACGCCGCGUGAGUGAUGAAGGUCUUCGGAUUGUAAAGCUCUGUUAUUAGGGAAGAACAAAUGUGUAAGUAACUAUGCACGUCUUGACGGUACCUAAUCAGAAAGCCACGGCUAACUACGUG
rnacentral:rRNA from 1 species